UAAAAAACUGUUUACUGUGGCUACUUGUGGGUGAAGGUGAAAGGGGACCCUGUUGUUAAAACACUUUUCUUCUGUAUGAUGAGUCUGCACUACGUUUAUAUGUAAUGCUCUCCCUGCCCCCGAUGUUCACACUUUUGGCACAGUGUAGGAGAGACAGGCACUGCUCUGCACCUGCACAGGGUCCAGUUCAAUGCAUCUCACUGGUGUUUCUCGGGAAGAACACAGUGGACACUCACUUGCCAGUCAGCAGGCGACUCACUGAAGUCUAUGUCUGCCAGUCCUCAGCGUCACGGGGACUGAAAGGCUGUCAUGUGUCACGGUUCCCCGGCUCACAAGGUUAGCAGUGACAGACACAUCUCAGCUCUGCUCGGGAGAGCAGCCCCGUAACACGCUUGUGGUUUCAGAUGUGGGCGGCCUCUGUGAACUUGUCAUGCGAGGCUCACGUCACCAACUGCUGCAGUUAUCUCCUGAAUCAGGCUGAGGGUCUUUGCCGCGCACCCAGAGACAGCUGGGUGACAGGUCGCCUCCAGGUUGGGGGCGCAGAGACUGGUGAUGGGACGACGCAGAUGCAUCUGGGAAGUAACUGCUGCAACAAGGGACAGACACAGCUGCAGAGAACUUGCCGUGGUGUUUCACGCUGUGGCUGCUGGUGCCCGGCUGCAUGCUCCGUUCUCGGGAAGGGCUGGACCUUGGAGAGUGAGGCGCUGAGGCACGGCAUGGGCACCUGGCUGCUGGCCUGCAUCUGCGUCUGCACCUGUCUCUGCUCGGGAGUCUCUGUCCCACGGGAAGGACGAGGGCCAAGGGCCGGAACCUUCACCUGCGUCACCAACAACAUUCUCAGGAUCGACUGCCAAUGGUCUGCCCCAGAGCUGGCCCAGGGCUCCAGCCCCUGGCUCCUCUUCACCAGCAACCAGGCUCCCGGCGGCUCACACAAGUGCGUGUUGCAGGGCAGGGACUGCAGUGUGGUGCUCCCACCCGACGCAGUGAUCCUGCCGUCCGACAAUUUCACCAUCACUUUCCACCGUUGCGUGUCUGGGAGGGAGCAGGUCACCCUGGUGGACCCACAGUACCUGCCCCGGAGACACGUUAAGCUGGACCCACCCUCUGACCUGCAGAGCAAUGUCAGCUCCGGCCACUGCAUCCUGACCUGGAUCAUCAGUCCUGCCUUGGAGCCGAUGACGACACUUCUCAGCUACGAGCUGGCCUUCAAGAAGCAGGAAGAGGCCUGGGAGGUAACACGUGGGCUGGUUUUCUCUGGAGUCCUCUCUCCCGGGGACAGCAGUCCAGGGUAGACUCCCCACUCUACACAGGGAGACGUCAACUCACAGAGAUGAGGAGGGGAGGGACUAGAGCUAGGUGUGUGUGUACAUACACAUGUGUAUGCUUUGUGCGUGUGUCUGGGAGUGAGGGUGACUGUGCCUGUGUCUCUGUGAGUGUGUGCACAUGCUUGGUGAGUGUGCAUGUAUGUUUAUGUGUGUGUGUGUGAAAGUAUGCCUUCUCUGUGUGUGUGCAUGUGAAUGUGGUGAGCGUGCCUGUGUGUUAACACAGGUGUGUUUAUGUGUGUGUAAAAGUAUGCCUUCUCUGUGUGUGUGCACGUGAUUGUGGUGAGCGUGCAUGUGCGUUAACACAGGUGUGUUAGUGAGUGUGUGAAAGUAUGCCUUCUCUGUGUGUGUGCACGUGAUUGUGGUGAGCGUGCCCGUGUGUUAACACAGGUGUGUUUAUGUGUGUGUGAAAGUAUGCCUUCUCUGUGUGUGUGCAUGUGAUUGUGGUGAGUGUGCCUGUGUGUUAACACAAGUGUGUGUGUGAGUGUGAAAGUAUGCCUUCUCUGUGUGUGUGCACGUGAAUGUGGUGAGCGUGCUUGUGUGUUAGCACAGGUGUGUUUAUGUGUGUGAAAGUAUGCCUUCUCUGUGUGUGUGCAUGUGAUUGUGGUGAGUGUGCCUGUGUGUUAACACAGGUGU
rnacentral:lncRNA from 1 species